rnacentral:tRNA from 3 species
GGGCGAUUGGCGCAGUUUGGUUAGCGCGUUUCCUUGACACGGAAGAGGUCGCUGGUUCGAGUCCAGUAUCGCCCA